CCAAUAGUGGCUCAGUGGUUAAAGCUGUGAGUUCCUGCUCAGAAAGUUGGGGGUUCAAGCCACCACUGCUGGG